rnacentral:lncRNA from 1 species
CUUGUCAUUACGGUGAUGAUGCUGGUGAAGAUGCUAAGUCAAAGUGGAGUACCAUGUCUAGUAGUGUGUUCAACAAGAUAAUGUUGUUUGUUCUAAAAGAAAUGGACGGAAUUCUUCGUAACCUGUUGAAACUACCAACUUCUGGUGGGUAGUGUGUUCAACAAGAUAAUGUUAUUUGUUAUAAAAGAAAUGGACGGAAUUCUUCGUAACCUGUUGAAACUACCAACUUCUGGUGGGCAGAAGCAGAUGAUAAAAGAUAUAUCCAAUACUAAACGGUGGAAGAGCAACAACCACUUGGUGAAAUCAUAUCUCGGAAAUGCUCUACAUGUUCUAAACCAGAUGACUGAUAC